AUUGAACGCUGGCGGCAGGCCUAACACAUGCAAGUCGAGCGGAUGAAGAGAGCUUGCUCUCUGAUUUAGCGGCGGACGGGUGAGUAAUGCCUAGGAAUCUGCCUGGUAGUGGGGGAUAACGUUCCGAAAGGAACGCUAAUACCGCAUACGUCCUACGGGAGAAAGCAGGGGGCCUUCGGGCCUUGCGCUAUCAGAUGAGCCUAGGUCGGAUUAGCUAGUUGGUGAGGUAAUGGCUCACCAAGGCUACGAUCCGUAACUGAUCUGAGAGGAUGAUCAGUCACACUGGAACUGAGACACGGUCCAGACUCCGACGGGAGGCAGCAGUGGGGAAUAUUGGACAAUGGGCGAAAGCCUGAUCCAGCCAUGCCGCGUGUGUGAAGAAGGUCUUCGGAUUGUAAAGCACUUUAAGUUGGGAGGAAGGGCAGUAAGUUAAUACCUUGCUGUUUUGACGUUACCGACAGAAUAAGCACCGGCUAACUUCGUGCCAGCAGCCGCGGUAAGAC
rnacentral:rRNA from 1 species